UUAAAUUGAAGAGUUUGAUCAUGGCUCAGAUUGAACGCUGGCGGCAGGCCUAACACAUGCAAGUCGAACGGUAACAGGAAACAGCUUGCUGUUUCGCUGACGAGUGGCGGACGGGUGAGUAAUGUCUGGGAAACUGCCUGAUGGAGGGGGAUAACUACUGGAAACGGUAGCUAAUACCGCAUAAUGUCGCAAGACCAAAGAGGGGGACCUUCGGGCCUCUUGCCAUCGGAUGUGCCCAGAUGGGAUUAGCUAGUAGGUGGGGUAACGGCUCACCUAGGCGACGAUCCCUAGCUGGUCUGAGAGGAUGACCAGCCACACUGGAACUGAGACACGGUCCAGACUCCUACGGGAGGCAGCAGUGGGGAAUAUUGCACAAUGGGCGCAAGCCUGAUGCAGCCAUGCCGCGUGUAUGAAGAAGGCCUUCGGGUUGUAAAGUACUUUCAGCGGGGAGGAAGGGAGUAAAGUUAAUACCUUUACUCAUUGACGUUACCCGCAGA
rnacentral:rRNA from 1 species